UUUCAUAAUAAUGAAAGUCUUCCCAUGAACUCAUGCUCAACUGCACAGUUACACCAGUAUUUAACUCAAGUGAAUACCUGGAUUAGAGAAAUAGGACAGGAGAAGAAAAGGAUCAGCGGUAGCAUAGCAACAAAAGCAAACAGUAACAGUAGUAGCAAAUUGAACACCCAAGGACAGAUUUUAAAACCAACAGAUAUGAUUCCACAUCCAAUAAAUAGAUGCAAAAAUAAUCCAACAGCAACACCAAUAUCAGAAACCCAAGCAGGAACCCAAGAAUUCAAUCUGAAAAUCAGCAGUGCCAAAUGCAAUCAACAGAAGCAGUCACAGGAUUAUGAUUUUUAGCAGUAAAUAUAGACUUCACUUUCAGCUUUUAAUUCUCAAAGACGGAAUUUUAAGUUCUGAAAUUUUUAUUUCCCUCUAGUAUUGAAAUCCAUUUUUUCUCUCUAAUU
rnacentral:lncRNA from 1 species